GUACAUCUAGAUCCAUACCCCUAAAACUCCCUAGAUGUCUCGGAUAGCGGAAUAACGCUAUCCCUUUUUU
rnacentral:sRNA from 1 species